rnacentral:rRNA from 1 species
UCGACGAGUCGACUGGAGUUGUGCCCUUGAGGCGUGGCUUCCGGAGCUAACGCGUUAAGUCGACCGCCUGGGGAGUACGGCCGCAAGGUUAAAACUCAAAUGAAUUGACGGGGGCCCGCACAAGCGGUGGAGCAUGUGGUUUAAUUCGAUGCAACGCGAAGAACCUUACCUGGUCUUGACAUCCACAGAACUUUCCAGAGAUGGAUUGGUGCCUUCGGGAACUGUGAGACAGGUGCUGCAUGGCUGUCGUCAGCUCGUGUUGUGAAAUGUUGGGUUAAGUCCCGCAACGAGCGCAACCCUUAUCCUUUGUUGCCAGCGGUCCGGCCGGGAACUCAAAGGAGACUGCCAGUGAUAAACUGGAGGAAGGUGGGGAUGACGUCAAGUCAUCAUGGCCCUUACGACCAGGGCUACACACGUGCUACAAUGGCGCAUACAAAGAGAAGCGACCUCGCGAGAGCAAGCGGACCUCAUAAAGUGCGUCGUAGUCCGGAUUGGAGUCUGCAACUCGACUCCAUGAAGUCGGAAUCGCUAGUAAUCGUGGAUCAGAAUGCCACGGUGAAUACGUUCCCGGGCCUUGUACACACCGCCCGUCACACCAUGGGAGUGGGUUGCAAAAGAAGUAGGUAGCUUAACCUUCGGGAGGGCGCUUACCACUUUGUGAUUCAUGACUGGGGUGAAUCUACAAAGGGGGGGGCAAAAAAAUACGGGGGCCCCGCGAUUCCU